rnacentral:rRNA from 1 species
AUGUCUGGAAAUAAUUCCCAGGCCGUGGCAGACCGAAUAAAGGCGCAGGCCCUAUCAAAUGCUAAGGGAUUGAGCAGGGCUCAAGCUGAACGUGCAGCGGAAGCUGCUGCCCGCAAUGUCAAUGCCUAUGGGCAGAAGGAAGAGGGGCCAAGCCACUGGCAAGAGAGGAAGGAGGCCAAGAGGAAGAUGUAUCUGAUGAGCACGGAGCAGCCUGUGAGGCUAGGUGUGAGGCGAAAUGCCGUACCAACUUCUUCCGCUGGUGGCCAAUGUCAGAAGUGCUUCCAGCCCGGGCACUGGACGUAUGAGUGCAAGAACGAACGGGUCUACAUCUCGCGGCCCUCGAGGACGGAGCAGCUUAAGAACCCCAGGCUGAAGAAGAAAGUGUCGCUGCCGGCUCGCUCUCGGUUCGUGAACCCUGAUCUUGAGAAGGAGAUGGAGGAGGAAAGGAAGCUGACGGGAGAAAAACAGAAGGAGAAGUCUGAGAGAAGGGAGGUAAAGAGUAAGAGAAAACAUCGUGCUUCGGUGUCAGACACUGACUCUGACUCCAAAUCAUCAUCGAGUGGGUCUGAGUAUUCUUCUGAAAGCGGUAGUUCAAGCUACAGUCCAUUGGACUCGGAGGAUAGGAAGCAUCGAUGCAACGCGAAGCAGAAGAAAAGAAGGCACCGAAGGGACAGCACGUCUUCAUCAUCCUCCUCGUUAUCCAAAUCUGAGUCUGAACCUGAUUCUGACAAUAAUGGCAGCAACAAAAGGAAGAGCAAGAAGCGUGGUUACACGCGCCGAGCUUGA